GUUUGGUUGUUAUUGUUGUAGAACCAGCGACAGAAAAACAACACUUGUCUGCCUGAGAAGGCUCCGGAAAAAAAAAAAAAAGGAAGAAAAGCGACCUCAAAGAGAUGAGCUCUCGGCUCAGUUGUCAGCAAACAACAACACUCCCCCGCUCCUCCGCUGGGCCAUCCUCCCAGCCCCAGCCCGCCGGAGACGGACAGACCGACGCACCGAAAGGCCCCUCUCUCCCCCUCGCCCGUCUUUGUUACAUCUUUAGCAGCUUUGUGCGUAGCUGGCGGCCUCGAGCAGAAUCUGCACGUUCUGCAGAAAAGUGUUGAUGUGCUUCUCCAUCGACUUCUCGCUGGUGUUGAAAAUGUCCGAGAAGGGGCACCUGGGCUUGGCCCCCGCGGGCUCCUCGGGCAGGGCCGGGGGCUGGGGCGCGGCCGCGGCGGGGGGCACAGCCGGGGGCGCGGCGGGGGCCAGCCCCGUGCCC
rnacentral:antisense_RNA from 1 species